rnacentral:rRNA from 1 species
UACAGAGGGGGCAAGCGUUGUUCGGAAUUACUGGGCGUAAAGGGCGCGUAGGCGGCCUUGUAAGUCGGACGUGAAAUCCCCGGGCUCAACCCGGGAACUGCGUCCGAUACUGGAAGGCUUGAAUCCGGGAGAGGGAUGCGGAAUUCCAGGUGUAGCGGUGAAAUGCGUAGAUAUCUGGAGGAACACCGGUGGCGAAGGCGGCAUCCUGGACCGGCAUUGACGCUGAGGCGCGAAAGCCAGGGGAGCAAACGGG